rnacentral:rRNA from 1 species
UGCCUAAUACAUGCAAGUCAACUGAAGCAAGGUAGCAAUAUCUUGUGGAGGUGGCGCACGGGUGAGUAACACGUAGGUAAUCUGCCUUCAGGUCUGACAUAACUCCGGGAAACCGGAGCUAAUAGCAGAUGAUGCAGCGGCUUGACAUCAAGACAGUUGUUAAAGCUUCGGCGCCUGAAGAUGAGCCUGCGUCUGAUUAGCUAGUUGGCGGAGUAAUAGCCCACCAAGGCUUCGAUCAGUAACUGGUCUGAGAGGAUGAUCAGUCACACUGGAACUGAGACACGGUCCAGACUCCUACGGGAGGCAGCAGUAAGGAAUAUUGCUCAAUGGGGGAAACCCUGAAGCAGCAACGCCGCGUGAAGGAUGAAGGGCUUUUGCUCGUAAACUUC